CCUACGGGUGGCAGCAGUGGGGAAUAUUGCACAAUGGGGGAAACCCUGAUGCAGCGACGCCGCGUGAGUGAAGAAGUAAUUCGUUAUGUAAAGCCCUAUCAGCAGGGAAGAAAAUGACGGUACCUGAGUAAGAAGCCCCGGCUAACUACGUGCCAGCAGCCGCGGUAAUACGUAGGGGGCAAGCGUUAUCCGGAUUUACUGGGCGUAAAGGGAGCGUAGACGGGAGUGCAAGUCUGGAGUGAAAGGCGGGGGCUUAACCCCCGGACUGCUCUUGAAACUGUACGUCUUGAGUGAAGGAGAGGUAAGUGGAAUUCCUGGUGUAGCGGUGAAAUGCGUAGAGAUUAGGAGGAACACCAGUGGCGAAGGCGGCGUACUGGACUGUAACUGACGUUGAGGCUCGAAAGCGUGGGGAGCAAACAGGAUUAGAUACCCGGGUAGUC
rnacentral:rRNA from 1 species